rnacentral:rRNA from 1 species
GAUGAACGCUGGCGGCGUGCCUAAUACAUGCAAGUCGAGCGAACAGACGAGGAGCUUGCUCCUCUGACGUUAGCGGCGGACGGGUGAGUAACACGUGGAUAACCUACCUAUAAGACUGGGAUAACUUCGGGAAACCGGAGCUAAUACCGGAUAAUAUAUUGAACCGCAUGGUUCAAUAGUGAAAGACGGUUUUGCUGUCACUUAUAGAUGGAUCCGCGCCGCAUUAGCUAGUUGGUAAGGUAACGGCUUACCAAGGCAACGAUGCGUAGCCGACCUGAGAGGGUGAUCGGCCACACUGGAACUGAGACACGGUCCAGACUCCGACGGGAGGCAGCAGUAGGGAAUCUUACGCAAUGGGCGAAAGCCUGACGGAGCAACGCCGCGUGAGUGAUGAAGGUCUUCGGAUCGUAAAACUCUGUUAUUAGGGAAGAACAAAUGUGUAAGUAACUAUGCACGUCUUGACGGUACCUAAUCAGAAAGCCACGGCUAACUACGUG